rnacentral:rRNA from 1 species
AUACGGAGGAUCCGAGCGUUAUCCGGAUUUAUUGGGUUUAAAGGGUGCGCAGGCGGCCAUUUAAGUCAGCGGUUAAAUCGUGGGGCUCAACCCCAUUCUGCCGUUGAUACUGGGUGGCUUGAUUGCGGUCGAGGUUGGCGGAAUUUGUUGUGUAGCGGGGAAAUGCAUAGAUAUGACGAAGAACACCGAUUGCGUAGGCAGCUGACCAGACCGCAAAUGACGCUCAUGCACGAAAGUGCGGGGAUCGAACAGGAUUAGAUACCCUGGUAGUCCGCACAGUAAACGAUGAAUACUUGUUUUCGGCGAUAUAAUGUCGGAGGCAAAGCGAAAGCGAUAAGUAUUCCACCUGGGGAGUACGCCGGCAACGGUGAGACUCAAAUGAAUUGACGG